GAUGAACGCUGGCGGCGUGCCUAAUACAUGCAAGUCGAGCGAACGGACGAGAAGCUUGCUUCUCUGUUGUUAGCGGAGGAGGGGUGAGUAACACGUGGAUAACCUACUUAUAAGACUGGGAUAAUUACGGGAAAGCGGAGAUAAUCGCGGAUGAGAUUCUGAACCGCAUGGUUGAUAAGUGAAAGUCGGUCUUGCGGUAACUAAUAGAUGGAUACGCGCUGGAUUAGCUAGUUGGUAAGGUCACGGCUUACCAAGGCAACGAUGCAUAGCCGACCUCAUAGGCGGAUCGGCCACACGUGAACUGAGACACGCACAAGACUCCUACGGUACGCACCAGUAGCGUAUCGGCCGCAGUGGGCGAGAGCCUGACGGAGCGACGCGACGUGAGUGAUGGAAGUCCUCGGAUCGUAAAACUCGGUUAUGAGGGAAAAACAUAUUUGUAAGGAACUGUGCACAUCUUGACGGUACCGAAUCAGAAAGCCACGGCUAACUACGUG
rnacentral:rRNA from 1 species